rnacentral:rRNA from 2 species
UACAGAGACUGCGAGCGUUAUUCGGAUUCACUGGGCGUAAAGGGUGCGCAGGCGGCCGAGUGUGUGAGGCGUGAAAGCCUGGGGCUUAACCCCAGAAUUGCACCUCAAACUACACGGCUAGAGCAUUGGAGAGGGUAGCAGAAUUCACGGUGUAGCAGUGAAAUGCGUAGAUAUCGUGAGGAAUACCAGAGGCGAAGGCGGCUACCUGGACAAUUGCUGACGCUCAGGCACGAAAGCGUGGGGAGCAAAAGGG